rnacentral:rRNA from 1 species
GCUGGGAUGUGAUGGGGAGCGAAAUUUAGUAGCGAAGUAGCUGAUUUCACACUGUCAAGAAAAGUCUCUAUCGAGGUUAAAGGUACCCGUACCGCAAACCGACACAGGUGGGUGAGGAGAGUAUCCUAAGGCCAGCGAGAGAACUGUUGUUAAGGAACUCGGCAAAAUGACCCCGUAACUUAGGGAUAAGGGGUGCCACCAUCAGGUGGCCGCAGAGAAUAGGCCCAAGCGACUGUUUACCAAAAACAUAGGUUUCUGCUAAGUCGCAAGACGAUGUAUAGGAGCUGACGCCUGCCCGGUGCUGGAAGGUUAAGGGGAUCUGUUAGAGCAAUCGAAGCAGUGAACUUAAGCCCCAGUAAACGGCGGCCGUAACUAUAACGGUCCUAAGGUAGCGAAAUUCCUUGUCGGGUAAGUUCCGACCCGCACGAAAGGCGUAACGAUUUGGGCACUGUCUCAACAACAGACUCGGUGAAAUUGUAAUUCCGGUGAAGAUGCCGGAUACCUGCGACAGGACGGAAAGACCCCAUGGAGCUUUACUGUAGCUUGACAUUGGGUCUUGGUACUACAUGUACAGGAUAGGUGGGAGGCUUUGAAACCAGGACGCCAGUUUUGGCGGAGCCAUCCUUGGGAUACCACCCUUGUAGUACUGGGACUCUAACCAUAGGCCAUGAAUCUGGUCUUGGGACACUGUCAGGUGGGCAGUUUGACUGGGGCGGUCGCCUCCCAAAAGGUAACGGAGGCGCUCAAAGGUUCUCUCAGUACGGUCGGAAAUCGUACGUAGAGUGUAAAGGCAAAAGAGAGCUUGAUUGCAAGACAUACAGGUCGAGCAAGGAUGAAAAUCGGACUUAGUGAUCCGGUGGUUCUGCGUGGAAGGGCCAUCGCUCAACGGAUAAAAGCUACCCUGGGGAUAACAGGCUUAUCUCCCCCAAGAGUCCACAUCGACGGGGAGGUUUGGCACCUCGAUGUCGGCUCAUCACAUCCUGGGGCUGUAGUAGGUCCCAAGGGUUGGGCUGUUCGCCCAUUAAAGUGGUACGCGAGCUGGGUUCAGAACGUCGUGAGACAGUUCGGUCCCUAUCCGUCGCAGGCGUAGGAAAUUUGAGAAGACCUGUCCUUAGUACGAGAGGACCGGGAUGGACG